GCCUGUGGAAAACCUAGCUUUGACACUGACUUGUAAUCAGUAGGUCCCGGGUUCGAUUCCUGGUGCCGGCACCA
rnacentral:tRNA from 1 species